GGGCGGUUAGCUCAGUUGGUAGAGCGCCAGUUUUACAUACUGGAAGUCGGCGGUUCGAUCCCGUCACCGCCCACCA
rnacentral:tRNA from 1 species